CGAAUUUCAAUAAUUUCCUUCCCCUUUUUUUCUCAGUGCUCUUAUUCCUUUCACUCAACAGAUUCCUCCUGAUGUUAUGGAGAUGAAAAGCGUGGGAGUUCAGACUGAUUAUCUGGAGAGUGCGAGACAGACAGACCCCUUCACUCCAGACUGUGCGGUUCGUCCUGGGACCCCACAACCCCAGCCCCCACAGAAGGAGAGAUGAUCGAGAGGGCAAGAAUGAAGAGAGUUUGGGAGGCAACUCUGGCCCCGCUGAAAGACCUCUCUCAGCUGGACAAGAGGAGAAGGAUGAUGGAGGAGAUGGAGAGGAAGGAGAAAGAGAACAUUUCGGAAGCUGCUGGCAGAACGGAGGAAUGUGGAGGGAAAAUUGAAGAGAUGUGAUAUUAUAAAAGAUUACUCAGAUUAGGGGUUUCAGACAUACGUGCCUCUGUCUCGGUUUGGCCCGAUCUCUGUCCGAAAUUCCAACCACAACAUGGUCAAGAGUCACUUUCUCAGCACGUAUGAAGGUCUGUUAGAACUGGAGGCAAGUCUUUCUCCAUCUGUCAAGGAGACUUGAAUCAAAGUGUCAAGACCUAGUGACUAAAGGCUUCAUCGCACACUCA